UCAACACUACGAGCCCUCGCGCUCUGAUUUCGACUUGUAGUCACAAGUCAUGACUACCCUACUAGUCCCAAAGCUCCCCAGAGGAUCAAGUCUACCACAACAAAAGAGUACUCAAAGUCACUCCCUUUCCUAUAUGCAUUCUUCGUAAUAAUGAAAUUUUGUAGGAAUACAACAUAACUCCAUUCUAAGAAGUCAGAGUAUUCAAAAUACAACAUAAGUGCACAACAACGACUAUAAGCAACUGCCUACUGGCAGCCACAAUAGAAGUCCUAGGCUUUUAUCAUAUCACAAGGAUACACUUAAGCCUCACGACUACUCGCAGAUCAGGAGCAAAAAGCAUCAAGCGAGAGGAAGUACACGCAAGAAAGCUGCACUCUAGGCAGCUGUACCCUCCUCCACUCGACGACACCUUAGAUGGGGAUAAGAGUACCAGGUACUCCUUCACCGCCUCUCCCCAACGUCACCUCGGGCCUCUCUUCCCCAAAACCCGGCACAGGACUAUGGGUACACAUCAUGCACUUGAGUCCUACCCAGAGAAACUGCGGAAGAGGCGAGUAGUCGGAACCACACCUCCAUCUUUCACCAGAGAAUUGGAUAAAGACCGCGGAACUCAUCAUCCUUCACUCGCGAGUUCCAGCACGAACUGAGCUGGAUCUUAGGCGACAAGGCAGAGCUCACAGUGAACCCUCAUACGAGGAUUCUUCUAGCAUCCCAGCAAGUACAUCUAACGUGAAGAUCUGUGGAGGGAAGGUGGCUCUAAUCUACUAGGAAUCUUCUAGCACCGGGGCGCUCAUUGGAAGCUUACUACUAUCGAACAACAGCAACCUAAAGCAAGCCAUCGC
rnacentral:lncRNA from 1 species